ACGCCCACUCCUCCUCCUCCCACGCCGCGUCCUUCGCCCUCCUCCCUGGGCGACGCUCGCCCCGCCGCCGCAUCGCCUCCUCACCAGCCACGCCCGCCGGCCUCCUCCGCGAUCGCCGCCGCCCUCUCCAACGCGCCUCCACCUCGCAUCGGAUCGAUCAUCCACCUUCGCCCUCCUCCCUGCGUCGCCUCCUCGCCUCCUCACCUUCACACCUCGCCACCGCAUCGCCUCCUCAGCAGCCCCGUGCCCCGCGCCCCGCGUCCCGCGCCGCCCUCGACCGCCGACGCUGCGACCCGCGCCGUCUCCUCGCUGCCGUCGCCGCGCCCCGAGUCCCGCGUCCCGCGCUGCCCUCUACCGCCGAUGCGGGAGCAGGAGGUCACGCCGCGUCAACACCGCCGAGGAGCCGCUUCCUCGCCGCCGUCGCGACGACCCGCGCCGCCCUCGACUGCCGCCACCUCCGCAGAUCGCCAUCGCACGCCUCCGCCUCUCAAGGUCACACGCUCAUCGCCGCCCGACACCCCGCCGAUUGGGGACCGAACGCUGACCCUGCAUCGACGCCACAACAGUCGACAGAGGGGAGAUGUUGAAGACCUCACUCCAACGACGGCUGCGCGCGGCGACACUACCAGGCACUGAGGGAGAGAAUGCGGUGCGAGGUGCGGCGGGGUUGUUCGUCCUUGCCCAGAUCAAUGCCGCCGCCGAUCCCUCACUCGCCCCUCGCCCAAGUCGGCGCCAAGGGCGGGGUUCGCCAAUCUGCUUCCCAGCCGCCUCGCCCGCUCCAUGGGAGAGGUGACACCUGUGCCCGCCUCCAGCGCUCCAUGCCCCCGGAUACCAUCCGAGCACGAUCCCUCCUUAGCUUCUGCCGGAGAAGGGACGCAUGCGCCGACCUUCAGCACUCUACGCGCCCUGUGGAUAAUUGAUUGCAGGAUCACUAAUGCUCUUUUUUGCCCAUAAGGUGUUCAACGAAAUGCUGCUUAGCCAAUGUAUUACCAGAAAUUGAUUUCUCUGUAAGUGAGAAUGUCAUAUUGUCAUGUCCCCUAUGUUGUUAUUUAUACUAAUGAUUGCAGGAUUCUCUCUGUUGUUAUUUAUGCUAUGAAGUGCUGGGAAGUUGAGAGUGUUGCUACCAAGCAAAAAGAUUCAAUUGAUCUGUUGGAGCAAACUAAUUUGGAUCUCGCAGUCUCAAAACUAAUCUGGUUCUUGAUUGUUUCAGAGUGGAUGAAAAUAAAAAAUGGAAUGAUGCAGUGAAGAUUAUGUAAGCAAUGUUCGUGAUAUAUCGAUCCUGAAAUUCUCAUAGAUGGCCAUUGCACAAAUACAAAAAUUUGCAGCUCAAGAUGAACAACCACACCAACCCCAAGAUCACCAACUAAGCCUAUCCUGCUUCAUGAUUGUUGCUGCAAACUCCAACAUGCUUGCUGCUGGUGCAAUCUGAGCCGGCUGGUGGCAGAUGGGAGCCUGCCCUAUGUUGUUAGCAGCUUUCUUCACUCCAAGUCAUGCUUGCUGCCUGUGGUCUUGGUAGUUUCUUUUUUGUGUUGUCAAUUUAAUUAUUAUGAUUUCCCAUGUGCUCGGCUAUUGGUGUUCUUGUUUUUAUCUGUUUUGUUUCAGGGUGUCAUUACUAUGGAGUAGAUCAUUUUUUUCUUAUUUUUUUUAAUGCCUUGUAAAAUAACCAACUAGCAGGGAUGUUCAUAAAUUUCUCCCUUUUGUUUGGUUUUUUUCAGACAUAUAUAUAUAAUGAAGGCAUAUAUACACAAAAGGAGGAGCUGUUUGAGGGUCUAAAGGACAAUAGCUCAAUUGACUGGGAAGCUGUUGUCAUAUGCUGAGAGCAAUCUGCUAAAUGUUAAAGAGGUGCAUCUAACUUUUGUACCCAGUGAACUGCAAAUCUGCACCUUCAUUUUUGAUUAAUAGUUUCUUUGGAUUCAGAUCAAAAUAGCUCAACAUGGGAAUUUUUCUAGCAGAGGAUGGGCAAUUCUUGGAAAAUACUAUAUAUUUCUUGUCGUUGAAUAUGAUCAUGUCCCAUUAUUUUGGCACUUGCUGCCUUGAUUCUGUUGCCUGUCCCAGCCCUUCAGCUAGCUCUCUAUCACACAUGAAUGCGUGACCCUUGAUGGUUGUAUGCAGUUGGGAUAUUUUGGUGAGUUCAUCCCCCUUCCCCACCCCACCUCUCUCUCUCUCUCUCAAAACCAUCAUUUAUCUUCACUAUUGACUUACAAUUUCACUUCUAGCUGAUGAUGAUCAAUCAAAGCUAGCUCAUAUGUAUUAGUGAGUUUAUGAAAAAAAGGAUCAGAUAUUCAAUAACAGAGUCAGCUCCUUCCGAACGAUGGCAAAAUGGUACCUUUAUAAUUUUACUUCUCAACACGCACACAUUUUUUUAUGACGAGUUUGAACUUUUGUUCUCCUUGUCAGAUUUUAUCUGAAGCAAGUAUCAUAUACUUCUGUAUUAGAAUAUGGACGCAAUCAUAUAUCUCCUAAGGUUUAGUGCAUACUCUCAUAUUUGGAAGUGAAUACCAAACGUGUAUGAAAUAGUGCAUUCGAUUUAAUCUAUUCUCUCUUGGGCAUUUA